rnacentral:rRNA from 1 species
CGGAGGGUGCAAGCGUUAUCCGGAUUUACUGGGUUUAAAGGGAGCGCAGGCGGAUUAGUAAGUCAGUGGUGAAAGCCUUGAGCUUAACUCGAGAACUGCCAUUGAUACUAUUAGUCUUGAAUGUUGUUGAGGUUUGCGGAAUGGGUCAUGUAGCGGUGAAAUGCAUAGAUAUGACCCGGAACACCUAUUGCGAAGGCAGCAGGCUAAACAAAUAUUGACGCUGAGGCUCGAAAGCGUGGGGAUCAAACAGGAUUAGAUACCCUGGUAGUCCACGCCCUAAACGAUGAUUACUCGACAUACGUGAUAUGACAAUGUGCGUCUGAGCGAAAGCAUUAAGUAAUCCACCUGGGAAGUACGACCGCAAGGUUG